GGUGCAACGUAAGCCUCAUGUUUCCACCUUGCAAAGCCAGAAAAUGAAGAGACCAAGCACAUCAGCAAAUAAAUAUUUCCACCCAUGUACGACCAAACACAACAGUAACCCAAAUUCAAGCCUCCAUCCAAGGGAUCAGCAAAUCCCUACUAGGCCCAACAAAUAAUUAACAUAUCCACUCCCGAAAGGAUCUAAUCAAAGGAUCAAAUCAACCAAGUUGGAGUCUUGAGCAAAAUUCCACACUUCUGCCGCAAAAUAAAAGAACAGAGGUGGUGUGGGCUAUCAACAUUGAAGAAGGACCAAUACAAAGUUGAGAUGAAGGAUACGAGACACACAAACACCCAAUCACCCUGUGCUGAGAUGCGAGAUUCAGCAACCUCUUUCAUUUAACAAAGUGGCUGCAGAAUUAAUUUGUCUAAGCAUGAAAUUCAGGUUUGGAAAAAAUGUAAUUCCCAGCUGCUCACCCACCGAGAUAUCUGCACCGCUUCCUCAUGAAUGUGUUUAGAUUAUUUAUAUGGUUCCAUUGUUUCAGAAUCCCUGCGACUUUUCUCAUUGAAUGAUAACAAGUACUUGUGGUAUUUUAAAGGUCAUCAUGACAGGUAUUUUCCUAGAACUGACCUUCAGUUCCACUUUGAUGUAAACAUUAUCCUUAUUUAUGUCUAGAAGUGACAUUUCAUGAAUUUAUUCAAAGGGUUGUCUGACUGAGUUUGUGGUCUCCUAAGGAAUGCUUUAUCUCUGGUUCCUAGACUGAAUUAUUCUGCUUUGGGAUCAACGGGCUGAAAAGGGUAAGGUUAAUAUUUUGACAUAGACACUCACCCCAGAAAACAAGCUUUAUUAUAUGCAAGGCAAUCCUGCUACAGCAUAUGGUGAUCAAGGGCUAAACGGCUAAUAUUUGCAAUUGCCAUUUUCUUUUCGUUGGUUUUUUUUUUUUUUUUUUUUUGGGGGGGGGAAUACAUAAGAUUGUUUGACAUUAGCAAGUGUAAAAAGGUCAGACUAUAGAUCUAAUGAAGUAUGGAGGGCUAAGUACUACAAAGUUUUUCCAUCCCUUCACUGCUAUUUGGCAUGUACUUAAUUGUUGAAAAGCAAUUCGUUUUAGGGCUCUUUUGACAUCUUUCCUGUUCAAGGGGAUGUAUCCAAUGCAAUGACGGGAGACUUAUGCUCUUGACAACUAUGGAUGGGCACUCAUGUCCUUGAUUCAUUUUGGGGAACAUUUGUAAGUCCAGUGCUUAAAAACUUUCACCUAAAACUUCCUUUAACAUGCUUCUAUGUUCUCUUUUAUAUUAGUUAUUCACAUAUAAUGCAAGCCAUUUUCAAUGACUUCUACAUUAUGGGGGGGCAUCUUUCAGCCCUGAGGGAUUGUUUGUCUAUCAGGUAUUGCAUCUGCCAUCAGUUCACUUGGAGGACAGUAAUUUGAAUAUUUUUGGCUUAUUUUCUUCCUCUUUAGUUGGUUGAUGCCUUUAAAUAUGUUUGUUCAAAUGAUGAUGUGUCCGAUUGGACCUUAAUUUUUCUUUAGGUGCAUGACCAAAUGACUGAUCCUCUCUCCUUUUCAUUUUUUUUUCUUCUGCUUUUUUUUUUGGUGGAGAGGCAUUGCUGUGGUUUUGAAAUGGAUGCGUUUUGGGUGAACCUAUAUGGAACAAUCUCUUGGGUUUCAUUAAUCAUUUGUGGCUUGGAAUGAAGAGCACUCUUAGAGAAUGGAAUAUAUGUAUUCUUGCAAUACCUGGCAUAAGAUAAGUAUUCAAUGGGCCCAUUCCUACAAGUGAAGUGGCAUUUCACUUACUAUGGAGCCCAAAUUUUCUUUGGUUUUAGAGAAGCCUACCUGUUUUUACUCCUAAUAACUCUAUUGCUUCUGAUAUCUUGACAGGUUCAGGUGAUGGUCGUGUCCAUUGUAAGGAGUGGGAAAGAAGUUGCAAGUUGGAUGACUUAUGAAACUGAGCCUCAUGUUAUAACAUGAUGGGCCCCUGGGAGUCUUCUGUUUGCGACUGAGUCUUCUGAACUAUCAUUUUGGAUUCUAGACUUGUCUAAAUUGGCAGCUCAUGUUGGAAGGAUGUAUAAUUACCCCUGUUAGGCCCCCAAAAUAUUUCUAAGCAUCAAGCGGUCCCGAGGUUCCCUAUUGCUACAAUGAACUUAUUGGUGGACUUUGGAGUUGCUGCCAACUCUUCUUUGUACUCUCUUGCCUCUUCUAAAGUAGUUGGUAUCCACCCAACGGACAGGCAGCUAUGCUUUGUACAGAAUUUAUCUAUUAACUUAAGCAUUUGUAUGUUAAGGUUGUAGAUGAUCCAGUUGCGUGCUGACCUAUGUAGGGUAAACAUCAUAUCAGUGGGGUGGCCCUAAGGUAGUAUGUCAAGGCUCAGGUAUUGAAACAUUUGUACAAUGUUUUGAUCAUAUAGUUAUUAGUUAUACGAUGUUUUCUGUUGGAAUACAAUAUCACACCUUCUACCACAACUUCUGAUUAGCAUCUGGAUUCCUGUCUAUAGGCACACUGAUCGCUAAUGUCAAGGAUUGAUUCUGUUAAUGACAGUGCUUAGUUGACUAAA